GAUGAACGCUGGCGGCGUGCCUAAUACAUGCAAGUCGAGCGAACAGACGAGGAGCUUGCUCCUCUGACGUUAGCGGCGGACGGGUGAGUAACACGUGGAUAACCUACCUAUAAGACUGGGAUAACUUCGGGAAACCGGAGCUAAUACCGGAUAACAUGUUGAACCGCAUGGUUCAACAGUGAAAGACGGUUUUGCUGUCACUUAUAGAUGGAUCCGCGUCGCAUUAGCUAGUUGGUAAGGUAACGGCUUACCAAGGCAACGAUGCGUAGCCGACCUGAGAGGGUGAUCGGCCACACUGGAACUGAGACACGGUCCAGACUCCUACGGGAGGCAGCAGUAGGGAAUCUUCCGCAAUGGGCGAAAGCCUGACGGAGCAACGCCGCGUGAGUGAAGAAGGUCUUCGGAUCGUAAAACUCUGUUAUUAGGGAAGAACAAAUGUGUAAGUACCUAUGCACGUCUUGACGGUACCUAAUCAGAAAGCCACGGCUAACUACGUG
rnacentral:rRNA from 1 species